rnacentral:rRNA from 1 species
GACGAACGCUGGCGGCGUGCCUAAUACAUGCAAGUUGAGCGAUGAAGAUUGGUGCUUGCACCAAUUUGAAGAGCAGCGAACGGGUGAGUAACGCGUGGGGAAUCUGCCUUUGAGCGGGGGACAACAUUUGGAAACGAAUGCUAAUACCGCAUAACAACUUUAAACAUAAGUUUUAAGUUUGAAAGAUGCAAUUGCAUCACUCAAAGAUGAUCCCGCGUUGUAUUAGCUAGUUGGUGAGGUAAAGGCUCACCAAGGCGAUGAUACAUAGCCGACCUGAGAGGGUAAUCGGCCACAUUGGGACUGAGACACGGCCCAAACUCCUACGGGAGGCAGCAGUAGGGAAUCUUCGGCAAUGGACGAAAGUCUGACCGAGCAACGCCGCGUGAGUGAAGAAGGUCUUCGGAUCGUAAAACUCUGUUGGUAGAGAAGAACGUUGGUGAGAGUGGAAAGCUCAUCAAGUGACGGUAACUACCCAGAAAGGGACGGCUAACUACGUG